rnacentral:snRNA from 1 species
GAACGUGAGGGUGAUCUGGCUUCGACAUCUACCAUGCCACUGAUCACCAGUGCUGAUUUGGCUGAUCUGGCCAGCAAGGCGUGUGGUGGCCCCUUCCUCCCUCACCUCUCUACGUGUGUCCCUCCCAAGAGAAGCUACACACUCCAGUGGGUCGAAAAGGAUGUCCUUCCCUGAAAAGAGACAAACCCCUUCUUCGUUCUUGGGCUGAGUUAUACAGAGUAGCUGUGCUUCCCUGCUUUAACCUCCAGAUGAGCUCUCAAAAGUCAUGUUGCAGCACAUACGUGCUGCAUUAAGUUUACCACUAAUAGCCCAUAUCUAGCCUCAGCACCAUUCCUGCAAGAGCACGGUAAUGAUGC